rnacentral:rRNA from 1 species
GGGCCCGCACAAGCGGUGGAGCAUGUGGUUUAAUUCGAUGAUACGCGAGGAACCUUACCAGGGCUUAAAUGUAAGUUGCAUUAGUUAGAGAUAGCUAUUUCUUCGGACCACUUACAAGGUGCUGCAUGGUUGUCGUCAGCUCGUGCCGUGAGGUGUCAGGUUAAGUCCUAUAACGAGCGCAACCCCUGUUGUUAGUUGCCAGCGAGUCAUGUCGGGAACUCUAACAAGACUGCCGGUGCAAACCGUGAGGAAGGUGGGGAUGACGUCAAAUUAUCACGGCCCUUACGUCCUGGGCUACACACGUGCUACAAUGGUCGGUACAGAGAGCAGCCACUACGCGAGUAGGAGCGAAUCUUCAAAGCCGAAUCACAGUUCGGAUCGGAGUCUGCAACUCGACUCCGUG